GACGUCGCUGCUGCCGCCGGCGGCGGCAACGGCAAGGCUCGGGCCGGCCUCCCCGCAGCUGCCGGCAGCUGGUUCCUUUUCCUGCGGCUUCCGGCCGAGCCCCCCCGCGAAGCAGUCCAUGGAGAAGGAGCGCGCGAUGGGCUCCUGCGCGACGGCGGGGGCGGCCUUGGUCGGGAACCUGCAGGAGCUCCCGUACCCGACCCUCGCCGCGGCGUCGACGACGCGCCGCGCGUCGCCGCCGCCGAGCUGCAGCAGGUCGCGGCAGGAGGCGUCGUGGUCGUGGCGCGCGAGCACGCCGACGGCGGUGACGACGGCGCGGCAGAGCGGGCAGCUGACGUUGUGGUGGAGCCAGGUGUCGAUGCAGUCGAUGUGGAAGGCGUGGGAGCAGCCGGGCAGCAGCUUGAGCCGCUCCCCGGGCGCGAACUCGCCCAGGCACACGGCGCACUCGGACGCGGACCUCGCCCGGCGGCGGUAGUACCGGACGACGGGCAGCGCGGCGACUACGUCCGGGUCGAGCCCGCCCGGGAGCUCAGCGGCAUCGUGGUCGGCGAAGAAGACCGCGGACACGCGCUCCGCCAGGCCGCCGCGGUCGUCCUCGCGGCGCGCGCGGUGGAGCAGGCCGCCGGGCCCCCCGCCGCGGAGCCAGCAGCGGACCACGAGGAAGUAGUAGCUGAUGAGGAUGAGCGUGGUGACCAUGAACCCGAUCGCGAUGACGAUGGCGAUCGGGAACGCCGCCGCCGUGCCCUGCCCCGCGUCCGACGGCGCUGGUAUUGGCGCGCCUGCCGCCGCGUCCAUCGCCAGGCACGCGCGCGCGACUGGGGCAGGCGAAGUCAAUGCCUUCGCGAGGACAGAUC
rnacentral:misc_RNA from 1 species